rnacentral:rRNA from 1 species
UACGGAGGGAGCUAGCGUUGUUCGGAAUUACUGGGCGUAAAGCGCACGUAGGCGGCUUUGUAAGUUAGAGGUGAAAGCCCGGGGCUCAACCCCGGAAUUGCCUUUAAGACUGCAUCGCUUGAAUCCAGGAGAGGUGAGUGGAAUUCCGAGUGUAGAGGUGAAAUUCGUAGAUAUUGGGAAGAACACCGAUGGCGAAGGCAGCCAUCUGGACCGGCACUGACGCUGAGGCGCGAAAGCGUGGGGAGCAAACAGG